UACGUAGGGGUCUAGCGUUGUCCGGAAUCAUUGGGCGUAAAGAGCUCGUAGGCGGUCUGUUGCGUCCGCUGUGAAAACCCGGGGCUUAACCCCUGGCUUGCAGUGGAUACGGACAGACUAGAGGUAGGUAGGGGAGAAUGGAAUUCCCGGUGUAGCGGUGAAAUGCGCAGAUAUCGGGAGGAACACCAAUUGCGAAGGCAGCUUGCUGGGACGGUACUGACGCUGAGGCGCGAAAGCGUGGGGAGCAAACAGG
rnacentral:rRNA from 1 species